UACGUAGGCAGCGAGCGUUGUUCGGAAUUACUGGGCGUAAAGGGCGCGUAGGCGGCCUGCUAAGUCGGACGUGAAAUCCCUCGGCUCAACCGAGGAACUGCGUCCGAUACUGGUGGGCUUGAAUCCGGGAGAGGGAUGUGGAAUUCCAGGUGUAGCGGUGAAAUGCGUAGAUAUCUGGAGGAACACCGGUGGCGAAGGCGGCAUCCUGGACCGGUAUUGACGCUGAGGCGCGAAAAGCUAGGGGGAGCAAACGGGG
rnacentral:rRNA from 1 species